UCCCCAGCCGCGGAAGUACGGGGGCGCGGCGGCCGUCGGCUUCGUCAGGGUUAUUCUUGGCGGCGGCGCGCGGCCAUGGCGCGGAAGCCGAAUCACCGGCUGCUGCUGCUGUCGCUGCUGCUGCUCUGCCGGGCCCCGGUGUGCAGCUCCGGCCCUCUGCCCCUGAUCCUCAACACUUGGCCUUUCAGGAAUGCAGCCGUAGCAGCGUGGAGGACGUUAGCAUCUGGAGGGUCUGCGCUGGACGCGGUUGAGAGCGGCUGUGCGGCGUGUGAACAGGAGCAGUGUGACGGCACCGUGGGCUUUGGUGGCAGCCCCGACGAGUCUGGAGAGACCACCCUGGAUGCCAUGAUCAUGGACGGUACUACCAUGAACGUAGGAGCAGUGGGAGAUCUUAGACGAAUUAAAAACGCCAUCGGGGUAGCACGAAAAGUACUGGAACACACGACACACACACUGUUAGCAGGAGAGUCAGCCACCAAGUUUGCCGAAAGCAUGGGCUUUAUCAACGAGGAUUUAUCUACCAAUGCUUCAUGUGCUCUUCAUUCAGAUUGGCUGGCCUGGAAUUGCCAGCCAAAUUACUGGAGGAAUGUUAUACCAGAUGCUUCAAAAUACUGUGGACCCUACAAACCACCUAGUAUCUUAAAGCGAGAUGGUUCUACUUACAAAGAAACAGGAGAUAGUUACGGUCAUGAUACUAUUGGCAUGGUUGUCAUCCAUAAGAUGGGAAAUAUUGCUGCUGGUACAUCUACAAAUGGUAUAAAAUUCAAAAUACCUGGUCGAAUAGGAGACUCGCCAAUACCUGGAUCUGGGGCCUACGCCGACGACACUGCAGGGGCUGCAGCAGCCACCGGGGACGGCGACAUACUGAUGCGCUUCCUCCCAAGCUACCAAGCUGUAGAAUACAUGAGAAGAGGAGAAGAUCCCACCACAGCGUGCCGGAAAGUGAUUUCAAGAAUCCAGAAGUAUUUCCCCAACUUCUUUGGGGCUGUGGUAUGUGCUAACGUGACUGGAAGUUAUGGUAAGUUUUAUCUGAAAUUCAUAUUUAUGUGAACCUGCAAAUGUUGAUGAGGACAGAGACUUUAAAACGCUGUUGGGUAUUUUAAUCCUCUGCGAUAGAAACAGGGACUGUACUGAGUAGGCAAUGGAUAAAUGUUAAUUGUUGUGUCAAGACCCCCAGAGUGUUAGAAGUGUACCUGAAAGUCUCCUCUGUUGACUGGCGGUGGUUAGGAUCCAGUCUUUGGCUGUUCGGUCUUACCCUUGACGUCCGUCCUAAGGAAAGUUUAGCUUCGGCUCGAGUAUAUGCUGAGAUGGGCUAACGUAGUCAGAUGUUUUUAUUCAUUAGAAGUACGUAGGGAUAAACGAUCUUCCCCACUUCUCUGUUCAUUAUUUAAAGGUCUCAGUCAUUUAGAUCUCAGGGCUCCCAGGUACAAAAUGUAUUACUAAUUAGUAAACUAAAGGCGUUAGCAGAAUUAUUUUCGCAGUGUAUUUGAGGCAUGUCCUUUGCUUCAUUUACUUUCCAUAUGAGCCCGUCACAGUUUCAAAGCAUUUCACGAUCAACCAGUGCCGCUCCUCAUUGGUGAGGUUUCAGACGGGGAAGAUACACAGCCUAGUGAUCAAUACAGCUCAUUAGGUUAGACUGCUUAUUACUGUGCUUUGAUCUUUUACUUCCCACAGUUUGGUAUCUGAAAAACUUGUCUGAGGAAUUCCAUACUCUUUUUUAAGUACUAAAAUACAAGAGUCGAUGUAAGUUAUGGGUGGGGAGGCUUUGUGUCUAAAAUAAAUCAGUUUCAUUGAUUCCCUCUUAGGAAAUAAACCUUAGAAGGCUCAACGUUAGAUUUAACAGGAUGUAAAAAUGAUAAUUAUAUAAUUGUAGAUGAAUUUAAAAUUGACCAGCCCCUUGUAUUUAAAGUAGUGGCAUUAGAAGGGCUCCCUCCAGGUGUCUGAGCAGGUGAAGAAAUCACUGUUGUCUGACAGAGAGCAUCUUGACAAAACAAGGCUCACUUUCUACCCGUGCAGAAGCGUAGAAAAGAGCAGGGUGCCUGGGGAGGGGAGGAUUAUGGGUGGAUGAAGGGAAUGGCCUAGUCACUAGGGAAAUACAGUUGUUAGUGUGUGCCUGAAAAUUUUCUUUUUCUACGAAAAGGAUAUGAAAACAUUAAAAUAACAGUAGAAAUGACCGCCUAUGUAUAGGAGCAAAAAAUCAGCCUAUAUUCUGAGGUUCAAAGAGAUGGCUUUCCCACUGCCUUUCUGUCCCCUCAUGGACUGUCAGCUAGUCCGCACUAAGGUGGACACACAGCCCACUUCCGUGUGGCCCGACUGGACAGCAGGUGCUGCCUGCAAUAAACUUUCAACAUUUACUCAGUUUCAUUUCAUGGUUUACAAUCCUCUAAAAAGUGAGCCAACUGAGGAAAAAGUAGACUGCAUCUAAUCCAUCUUUUCUGUCCACAUCUCUACUUAAAGAAGAAAGAAACAGAGGCUGAAAAGGCUGCUCACUGUCAUCGUAUAACGUGCCUCAUGUAUUCUAAAAUUCUUUGUGUAAAAUAAGCACAAAAAUUUUAUGCUAAAAGCAUUUUCACUUUCUGUAUCUGAAAAAUUUUUAUUAUCUGUUUUUCUUUAAGCUUUGUAUAUCCCCUGAAAAUAUUUGUGUGUAUGUAUUUUGUAUAUGUUUAAAUUUUGAGUGAUAUUUGGAUUUCUGCUCAGUGUUUCAAGAAAUUGCUACUUUGGGGAUUUAUUUCCAUAAAUAAAUGAUACAGUAAAGUGAUAUAGUAAAGCCACAAGAAAUAAUCUAUAUUUGGAUACUUAAAAUAAUUAGAGUAGCCAAGGAUUUUAGACCCAAAGAAAAAGGUAACAGUGAGUCACGGCAUGGUAAGUCCUGACCGAAUCUCAGUACCUUAGAGUAAUAUGUCUCUUAUCGCUGAUUAUCAGUUGUACGUAAUGCUCUCUUCUAGCUUGAAGAGGAAAGAAUGCUGUCCAUCAUAAAGGUGCGUUUUGUUUAGCACGUAUUAGAAAAUGUGGGCCGUCUUCUGACGAGCAACUGUGUUGAUUUUCUUGGGCUUCUUCCUCUGACGGUGCGCUCCCAAUGUGUGAAGGUUUUUAGCCACCAAAACUCUGACCUUUUAGCUACAAAUAUUUAGUACUGAUAAUCUCUUCCGAAAAUGAUUUAGGGAACUUGAUCUGUACUGUGGUUUUACUAAUCUCUUGUGCACAUGUUGGUGGUCUGAAUUAGCAGUGAGUCAGUAACCCUCGUCGGCCUUGUUUUUUCUGAGCGCUCGGUCAGCCGUCUGCGGACUAGACAGGACUGUAAGUGCGCUUUCUCAGGAUCGUCUUUGCUUCAUUACCUUCCUUUUACAUCAGGAGUCAUUAAUAAAACUGUAUGUACAA